CGGCCCGCACAAGCAGCGGAGCGUGUUGGUUUAAUUCGAUGAUACACGAAGAACCUUACCAGGGUUUGACAUGCUGGUAGUAGGGAUCCGAAAGGUGACCGACCCUCGGGGAGCCAGCACAGGUGCUGCAUGGCUGUCGUCAGCUCGUGUCGUGAGAUGUUCGGUUAAGUCCGCUAACGAGCGCAACCCUUGCUGUGUGUUACAUGUGUCACACGGGACUGCCGGUCUUAAACCGGAGGAAGGUGGGGAUGAUGUCAAGUCAGCAUGGCCUUUAUAUCCUGGGCUACACACACGCUACAAUGGCCGGUACAAUAGGUUGCGAAGCCGCGAGGCGGAGCCAAUCCUCAAAGCCGGCCUCAGUUCAGAUUGCAGGCUGCAACCCGCCUGCAUGAAGAUGGAGUUGCUAGUAACCGCAGGUCAGCAAUACUGCGGUGAAUACGUUCCCGGGGCUU
rnacentral:rRNA from 1 species